rnacentral:rRNA from 1 species
AGUGUCAGCCGCCGCGGUAAUACGAAGGGGGCUAGCGUUGUUCGGAAUUACUGGGCGUAAAGGGCGCGUAGGCGGCUUCAACAGUCGGGCGUGAAAUGCCUGGGCUCAACCCGGGAACUGCGUUCGAAACUGCGAGGCUAGAGUGUGGGAGAGGUUGGUGGAAUUCCCAGUGUAGAGGUGAAAUUCGUAGAUAUUGGGAAGAACACCGGUGGCGAAGGCGGCCAACUGGACCACAACUGACGCUGAGGCGCGAAAGCGUGGGGAGCAAACAGGAUUAGAUACCCUGGUAGUCCACGCCGUAAACUAUGUGUGCUUGACGCUGGUGAGCCUAGCUCGCCGGUGUCGCAGCUAACGCGGUAAGCACACCGCCUGGGGAGUACGGUCGCAAGAUUAAAACUUAAAGGAAUUGGCGGGGG